AUACGRACUCUGGGCACGGGAUAUCUCGGCUCUCGCAUCGAUGAAGGACCGUAGCGGAACUGCGAYACUGGGUGUGAUUUGCAGAUUCCCGUAACCCAUCGAGUCUUUUGACCGCAAGUGGCGCCCGAAGCCUUUGGUCGAGGGCACGUUUGCCUGGGUGUCACA
rnacentral:rRNA from 1 species